rnacentral:rRNA from 1 species
GACAGAGGGUGCAAGCAUUGUUCGGAAUCAUUGGGCGUAAAGGGCGCGUAGGCGGUUUUGUAAGUCGAAUGUGAAAGCCCAGGGCUCAACCUUGGAAGUGCAUCCGAAACUGCGAGACUUGAAUCCUGGAGAGGGUGGUGGAAUUCCCAGUGUAGAGGUGAAAUUCGUAGAUAUUGGGAGGAACACCGGUGGCGAAGGCGACCACCUGGACAGAGAUUGACGCUGAGGCGCGAGAGCGUGGGGAGCAAACAGG